rnacentral:rRNA from 1 species
UCGNAACAUAGUAGAUGNACUGGAAGGUGUAUCUAGAAUUAUAC